rnacentral:rRNA from 1 species
GACGAGCGCUGGCGGCGUGCUUAACACAUGCAAGUCGAACGGAAAGGCCCUGCUUGCAGGGUACUCGAGUGGCGAACGGGUGAGUAACACGUGGGUGAUCUGCCCUGCACUUCGGGAUAAGCUUGGGAAACUGGGUCUAAUACCGGAUAGGACCGCACUUUAGUGUGUGUGGUGGAAAGUUUUUUCGGUGUAGGAUGAGCUCGCGGCCUAUCAGCUUGUUGGUGGGGUAAUGGCCUACCAAGGCGGCGACGGGUAGCCGGCCUGAGAGGGUGUACGGCCACAUUGGGACUGAGAUACGGCCCAGACUCCUACGGGAGGCAGCAGUGGGGAAUAUUGCACAAUGGGCGCAAGCCUGAUGCAGCGACGCCGCGUGGGGGAUGAAGGCCUUCGGGUUGUAAACUCCUUUCGCUAGGGACGAAGCUUUUUGUGACGGUACCUAGAUAAGAAGCACCGGCUAACUACGUG